GAGGUAUUCAAAGCAUUUUUCAUUCUCUCCCAGGUUGUUUCAUGAUUACUCAAGUUGAUCAAGGUUUUCCAGGAGUUGAAUUAUUGCAAGAAGCAACACAGUGAAGAUGAGUCCUACAAGUUGUUUCAUGAUUACUCAAGUUGAUCAAGGUUUUCCAGCAGUUGAAUUAUUGCAAGAAGCAACACAGUGAAGAUGAGUCCUACAAGUAAUUAAUAUUAUGAUAGAAAUAUUGAUAAGUAUAA